rnacentral:sRNA from 1 species
GCAAUAGUAAAAAAUAAUACAUUCGUUUUUAUUAACUCGUUAUACCCAUAUUUGCUUCAAGGAAACUUACACGCUCGUUUGCAUGCUGUCGGCGAUCACGAUCUAACAAUGGUAGCAAAAGAUUUUCCCAUGAAGAUGCGUACAAUCGAAGGGUUCAUCAAUGUCUCAAUGCCACAGGCAAAAGAGGAACCGCCCCUGAGCAUCCUCAUUUGCCCAUCAGGAUUCAAGGAGAGUCUUGAUACACUUGCUGUCGCCGAUUGCAUCGAAAAAGGAGUCAAGCGCGUCCUCCCAGACGCAAUCGUACGGAAAGUCCCGUUAUUCGACGGAGGGGAGGGAUUCGCCCAUGCAUUGGCUACCACGACUGGUGGGGAACUUCGGCAGUUGGAAGUCACUGGCCCAAUUCGGAUUCCUCUCAUCUCCCACUAUGGGAUCCUUGGAGGCGACCGCUCGAAAAAAACAGCCGUUGUAGAAAUGGCUUCUGCCGCCGGGUUGCGCCUGGUCCCCAAAGACUCCCGUGACCCAACGAUCACAACCACUUAUGGAGUCGGUGAGCUGAUGCGCGCGGCGUUAGAUGAGGGAGUAGAGCGACUCAUCAUCGGAUGUGGCGACUCAGGGACCAAUGAUGGAGGCGCUGGCAUGCUCCAAGCAUUGGGCGCACGUUUCCUUGAUGCCCACGGUAAUGAGCUUGCACCGGCAAGCGGCGGGGUAGCACUGUGCACAGUUGCAGAUAUAGACCUUUCCGGCCUCCAUCCUCGGCUAAAACAGGUUGAUAUCGAAGCCGCAUGCAACUGCC